GAGCCCCCACGGCGCAAUGAAGGUGAAGCGNNNNNCCGGCCCAGGUGGGACUCUGGCGGGGGGCGCACCACCGCCCGUCUGCCGCAGCGUCGGGGAGUGGAGCAAGAGCGCGUGCGAUGUACCCGAAAGAUGUGAACUAUGCCUGGGCAGGCGAAGCCAGAGGAAACUCUGGUGGAGGUCCGCAGCGGUCCUGACGUGCAAACUUGUCCACCUGGUAUAGGGCGAAAGACUAAUCGAACCAUCUAGUAGCUGGUU
rnacentral:rRNA from 1 species